CCUACGGGCUGCAGCAGUGGGGAAUAUUGCGCAAUGGGCGAAAGCCUGACGCAGCGACGCCGCGUGAGGGAUGAAGGUCUUCGGAUCGUAAACCUCUGUCAGCAGGGAAGAACGGUCACUGUGCUAAUCAGCAGUGAAUUGACGGUACCUGCAAAGGAAGCACCGGCUAACUCCGUGCCAGCCGCCGCGGUCAUACGGAGGGUGCGAGCGUUAAUCGGAAUUACUGGGCGUAAAGCGCUCGUAGGCGGUAUGUCAAGUCAAGGGUGAAAUCCCCGGGCUCAACGUGGGAACUGCCUUUGAAACUGGCAAACUGGAGUGUGUGAGAGGAUAGUGGAAUUCCAGGUGUAGGAGUGAAAUCCGUAGAUAUCUGGAGGAACAUCAGUGGCGAAGGCGACUAUCUGGCACAUAACUGACGCUGAGGAGCGAAAGCGUGGGUAGCAAACAGGAUUAGAUACCCUAGUAGUC
rnacentral:rRNA from 1 species